CGGGAUGUAGCACAGUUGGCUAGCGCGCCACGUUCGGGACGUGGAGUUCGAGUCUUCUCAUCCCGA
rnacentral:tRNA from 1 species